CGGGGGUGAUGCACCGCAGCUCACGUCGAAGGAGACCCGACCGACAACGCGAUACGCAAGACAGUCGGCGGGUGCUUUUGCAGACCCGAAACCCCGCGCACCCGGGAGGGACCCCGUCAGGGAUUGCGGCGGCUAUGGGCUGCCCUAGGUCGAUUCGCUCGCCCCUAGAGCCUCGGGAUUCGCAGCUCUCAAACACGAAGAACAGCGAAGAACGAGAUAGAAAAACGGUGGAGAGAUAAAAAGUAGACAGGAAAAAGUAGUACAUUGAUUUGUUUGAUUGUGUGUUGUUCAAUCGGCCGUCACCCCCAACAUAUAUAAGAGGCGGCUGGACUUCCCGUACAAGUAAAGGAUUCAUCUAGGCUUUCCUUACAAGAAAAAUUACAUCAAUUCACGUCCUAGAGUCCUAGUUCUAUUCCAACUCGGAUCCAGUCUGAAUCUGGCCCAACUUCUGUCUUCCUCCUUGUGCAGGUCGCCGAGCCUCCAUAUGACCUCCGAUCAAGAUGGCCCAAAUAUCAAACUUGUGCGCCUCGACGAUACGAACAACUCUCAUGUUGAUCACUUUUUGAAAUAAGGCCAUCUUGAAUACUUUUCGAGGUCAUCUUUACCUUCCAGUCGGACUCGGUCUUGCGGUAGACUGAAUUAUCCGAGUCUUCUAGUGAAUUUGCAGGCCAUAUACUAUCUCUGAUGACGAUGACUCCAAAAGCAAAGUUUACCGUCUUGACGAUACGCACAACUUCUGUAUUGAACACUUCUUCAUCCGAGAUCAUCUUGAUAAACUUUUGGGCACAUGUUCAGUUUCACUCGGAUUUGAACUCAUCCACUCGGAUUUUAGAGUCUUUCACUUGGAUGGUCCGACUGGACUUUUUCACUCGGAUGACUAUAUUUUCACUCGGAAGACAAUCAAUUGGUAGGUUUUCACUCGACCUUUUACUCGAUCGGUAGGUUUUCACUCGACCUUUUACUCGAUCGGUAGGUUCUCACUCGACCGGUGACUCGAUCGGUAGGUUUUCACUCGACCGGUGAGUUUUCACUCGGAUGGUAAGCUUUCACUCGACCAAAAACAUAGCCUGAUCUUUAUUUGCCUCUCCAGGUUACAUACGACCUCGGAUUGAGACGAAUUUUAUAUGAAAAUCGAUCGGCUCGACGAGACGAAACUUUUUCUUGUUGAAGGUUUUUCGAUUCAAGGACUUCUUAAGGGCCUAAUUACUCGCGCGACCCAUCAGACAUGGCGUGUGAUACUUUGCGCCAGAUUUCCACUCAGCUUCGGCCUGCAGUGUAUUGCCUCUAACUUUUGCAUAUGAACUCGGAUUGAGAUGAUUUAUAUAUCAAAAUCGAUCGCCUCGACGAGACGAAGACAAUUCCUUUAGAAUACUCCUUCAUCCGAGGUCGUCUUAAGGGCAUGAUCGGCCGAAAACUACUCGGAAUGUUGAAUUUUGUCACUCGGAGUACAACUUCGGCCACCGAGAUAAGGUCGAAUGGCGAUAAGUUAAACACCAAAGUUAUUCCACUCGGCGACCUGAAACUUUGCAUGCCGAAAACUCUUUUACUUGAGGCCACCUUACUUGACUUUUGUACCUUGCCAAAAUCCGAUGUCAACACAUGCCCCCCUUGUUUUUCGGCAAAGCUUGCAUGCCGAAAAAUAAUAUGCACUGUGUUUGUUCUAAGGACGAUGUCAACGCUCCAUCGGCCAUUUAUUUUUCUCAGGGCGAUAAUUAUGUAUCGGCCAUGUUUGUGCUAAGGGCGAUAAUUGUAUAUCGGCCAUUGCCUACUCAGGCUUCCUGCCACACACUCGGGUGGUACUUCUUCAAAUAUUUUCCGUUGAGAGCUCGAGGUAACAAUGCCCCUUGUAUUGAUUCCACCAAAUAUGAAUUUCCGGGAACAACCCUUGUAAUCCUAAAAGGACCUUCCCAACUUGGAGACCACUUCCCAAAUUUUCUAUCUCUUGAACCAAUCGGCAGAAUCACUUUCCAAACGAGAUCACCAACUUGAAAAUUCUUCAACUUGACUUUCUUAUUGUAAGCUCUUGCUACCCUCAACUUAUCUCUCUCUAUGGACUCCAAAGCAACCAAACGUUUAUCGGCAACCUCAUCAAUAUUGUCCAUCAUUAAGUUAUAAAAGUCUACUGCCGAUAAAUCAUUUUGUUUGGCUAUUCUCAAAGCAUUCAAAUUUACCUCCACUGGUAAAACAGCCUCCUGACCAUAUACUAGCUCAUAUGGAGUCAUCUUCGUAGCAUCAUGUCUUGAAAUUCUGUGUGCCCAUAAAGCUUCAGACAACAACUCAUGCCAUCUCCUCGGAUUAUCCUCAAUCUUCUUCUUGAUGAGCUUGAUUAGAAUUUUAUUGCUAGACUCAGCUUGUCCAUUAGCUUGGGCAUAAUAUGGAGAGCAAUUGAGCAACUUUAUAUUAUAAGAUUCGGCAAACUCUCUGACUUGGUGUGACAUAAAAGAUGAACCUUGAUCUGUAGUUAAUGUUUGAGGAAUACCGAAUCUAUGAAUAAUGUGUUCGGUUAUGAAUCGAAUUACCUCCGUAUGUGUCAUGUUCUUGAGAGGUACUGCUUCAGACCAUUUAGUGAAAUAAUCAGUUGCCACCAAUACGAACCGAUGCCCUUUUGAGGAAGACGGGUGGAUUUGUCCAAUGAAAUCUAAACCCCAACCUCUGAAAGGCCACGGUUUGAUAAUAGGAUGUAACAUAGCAGCAGGAGCCAAAUGAAUAUCACCAAACUUUUUACAAGCUUCACACCCUUUAUAAUAUCUGAAGCAAUCAUUAAUCAUAGUCGGCCAAUAAAAUCCAGCACGUUGCAAUAACCAUUUCAUCUUGGGAGCCGACUGGUGAGUGCCACAAAUACCUUCAUGUACUUCUCCCAUAGCAACUCUUGCCUGGUCCUCAUCCAAACACUUUAGAAGAACAUCAUCGACUGUUCGGCGAUAAAGACCAUCAUCUCUCAUUGUAUACUUGAAAGCCAUACGCCGAACAGCCCUGUCUACCCUUUCACUCGGAUUGCACAAGUAAUCAACAAUGGGCUUUCUCCAGUCGGAAUUAUCACCUGCACUAGAUUUUUUGUUAAUGGCCGAAUCAGUGGGUUCAGGUUCGGCCUCUCCCAUAUUGGCAAGACAAGACAUUGGUCUUUGAGAGAUAUGAAACAUGCCAUGAUCAACAUGAUAUCCAGAUGCUUGCUGUGCCAACUCAUUUGCUUUCCAGUUGUCAUGUCUAGAUAUAUGUGCAAUGCUAAAACAAUCCAAAGUAGAAAUUAUAUCUAGACAUUUAUCAAGAUAAACAUUAAGUGAUUCGUCAAAACACUGAAAGACUUUGGAUAUUUGCUGCACCUCUAGUAACGAAUCACCGUAAGCCUCAAUAUGUGUAACACCUAUAGCAAGUAACAUCUCUAGACCGAAUAACAAUGCUUCAUAUUCGGCUUGAUUGUUUGUGCAAAAAUAUUCUAAGCGGCAUGAGGCUUCAAAAACAGCACCAUGAGGAGAUAUAUAAACAAUACCAACACCUUGGCCAUUGCUACAAACUGAACCAUCAAAGUAUAAUCUCCAUGGCACUAAUGAAACAAGGUUCAUAUCAACAUCAUGCUUGUCAUCAAUCCGAUGUUCAACAAUGAAAUUAGCAACAAUUUGGCCUUUCAUGGAUUUUAGAGAUUCAUAAGCCAAAUCAUACUCAAUCAAAGCAUAAGCCCACUUGCCAAUUCUACCACUAAGAAUUGGCCUAUGCAACAUGUACUUAAUGACACCGGUUUGACAAGCUACUACACAAGCACUCGGCACUAGGUAAUGUCUCAAUUUUGUGCAAGCGUAAUAUAAGCAUAGACAUAGUUUUUCAAUAAAUGUAUACCUUGUCUCGGCGUCCAAUAAACGUCUGCUCAAAUAUGUAAUGGCAUGCUCUUUUCCUUCGGUAUCUUGAGUUAAAACAGCACCAAUAACACCUUCCUCUGCUGCGAUAUAAAGUUUAAAAGGUUCUCUAUGCUUGGGUGCUUUCAUCACCGGAGGAGUGCACAAAUAAUUCUUGAUCAUAUCAAAGGCUUCUUGCUGUUUUGCCCCCCAAGUGAAAUCAACAUCAUUCUUUAACCGAAGGAUAGGAGUAAAUGCAUCAACUUUCCCUGACAGAUUAGCUAUGAACCUUCUCAAAUAAUUGACCUUGCCAAGGAACUUUUGCAUAUCUCUCUUGCAUGUUGGAGCCUCCACUUUCUGUAUGGCCUCUAUCUUUUUGGGAUCGAUUUCGAUGCCAUCUUCAUGAAUAAUGAAACCCAAAAAUUUGCCAGCUGACACGCCAAAUGCACACUUCAAAGGAUUCAUCUUCAGUCCAUACUUUUUCAUUCUUUCAAAAGCUAAACGCAAAUCGGCCAAGUGAGAUUCAAAAGCAUCCGAUUUGACAACAAUAUCAUCAAUAUAAACUUCAAGUAUGACACCGAGUAAAUCAUGAAAAAUCAAAUUCAUAUCCCUCUGAUAUGUGGCCCCAGCAUUUUUCAAUCCGAAUGUCAUCACUGUCCACUCGAAUAAACCAAGGAAACCAGGACAUCGGAAAGCUGUUUUGUACAUGUCCUCUUCGGCCAUAAAAAUUUGAUUGUAUCCGGCAUUACCAUCUAGAAAGCUAAUAACCUUAUGUCCAGAAGCAUCAUUAAUAAGCAUAUCGGCUAUUGGCAUGGGAUACUCAUCUUUGGGUGUAGCCCUAUUCACAUCUCUGAAGUCAAUGCACACCCUCAACUUGCCGGAUCUCUUCUUCUCUACUAGGACAAUGUUAGAAAUCCACUCGGCAUACCUGCAAGGUCGAAUGAAUUUAGCUUCAAGCAGUCGACCGAUCUCUUCCUUGAUCCGGUCAUAUGUUUUCGGAUUAAACUUUCUGGCCGAUUGUUUAUAAGGUCUAAAACCGGCCUUUAUAGGCAACCGAUGCUCCACUAGCUCUCGGCUCAACCCUGGCAUCUCAUGAUAUUCCCAUGCAAAGCAACAAACGUAUUCUUUCAAUAGCUCGAUUAACUUAGUUUUACAAUCGGCUUUCAAAUUUUUGUUUAUAAAUGUCGGUCGACUGACUGAUCCGUCUCCGAUAUCUACCUCUUCUAACGGAUCGGCCGAUGUAAAACCUUGUCCAAGUUUAUCCAUGUCAUCCAACUCCUCAACAGACUCAUACAUAUCCUUCUCGCUGGACCGAUAUUUUGCAAGACGUUUUUGUAACCACUCGGAAUUAGGAUCCAUUUAAACAUAUCAUACCUUGGAGCCGAUUGCAUUCAGUCGGUUUUAAAGACACGGGCACAAAACCAUUUUUGGUCGCACUGAGAAAAUCAAACUCUGAUAAAUCACGUCCCGUCAAGCAAGUAGCAUUGGGAUGUUGCCAAUCCACCGGUGCAUCGGCCAAAGCAACACAAGCUGAAUUAUCCGCAUGAAUGAUUUCCACUUCGUCAUCAACCCAUUGAAUCAAAAACUGGUGCAUAGUGGACGACACGCACUGGUUUGCAUGAACCCAAUCACGUCCUAGUAUGACGUUGUAGUUACCUUGCACAUCAGCGACAAAGAAUGCAGUAGCCAAAGUUUUGCUUCCGACUGUAAGCUCCACAUACAUCACACCUUUGGCUUCAGUUUUUUCUUUGCCUUCAAAUCCGUUGAGCACCAUAUUGGUCUUGAUCAAUUCUUCAUCAGGCAAACCCAAUUUCUUGAAGACCGAAUAGGGCAUAAGAUUUACCACAGCACCACCAUCAACAAGCAUCCGAGUGAGCGGAGACCCAUUGAUAUGACCUCUGAGAUAUAAUGGUUUCAGAUGCGUUACUGGUUCUUUUGGCUUCUCGAAUAUUGCAUUUUUAGGGCCAAAAUCCAGCUGAGCCACUUCCCCUUCCUCAUCUACAGCAUGAAACUCAGCAGGUAAGUAAUACACCAUAUUGAUAUCCAUACCUUCAUGAACCGGUGCAGAUUCAUAGUCCAAUAUAUCAGCCUCUUCUUCAAGUGGAUCGACCGAUUCUGAAAUCUGUCCGAGUGAAGGAGAGGUAAGAAGUGUCACAGACGAUGUAAUAGCUGUCGCAUCGUCCUCUUUGGGUGGUGUGGACACUUCUGUGAUAGAUGUAGAAGCUGAUGUAUCUUGUAUUUGUUUUGGCCUCCACACUUUUUUUGCUGGAACCAUGGGCCGAGUGUUAUUGAACAACUUAUCCCUUUGCUUCUCGGCCUCCUGCUCCGCCAUCUCUUGACUCCUUAACCUUUGUAGUUUCCUCUUCUGUGUCUUUGUUAGCCCUGGAGGACACCACUUUGGCCGAGUGUAUUUAGCAUCUCUCACCUUUACUUGGCUGGUGCUUGCUUCAUGGUCAUUAGCCGAGUGCUUUGGCGCGAUAGAAAGUAUCGGCUCAGUUGAGUGAUUAUGCACAGUCGACUGCUGUAUGGGGAAUGUUUCGGUGCCCAAGAUAAGUGAGUCGACAUCCAUUUUCUCCUUGCCUUUGCCCGACUCAACUGCUGCAACACUUGGUGACUUAACACGCCAUUCCUUUCGAUUUUCCAGAUGCAUGAAAUUUCCACUCGGGCGCACCUUUUUACUCUGAUGGAAUCCACUCGGAUUGAUGUCACUCGGAUGGUAUCCACUCGGAUGGUACUCAGUCGGAUGGAAUCUACCCAUCCACAUUUUUUCACUCGGAUAGCUUCCACCUGGGUGCAUUCUUACACUUGGAUAAUUUCCAUCCGGUCGCAUAUUUUGACCAGCCGACUGAUAGUUACCAAUGUUGAGUCGACCAUUAUAUGAGUAAUCAAUUCGAUCCCACACAGAUUGCCUCUGCUCUUCUGAAAACUGCGCCCUCGGUCCACUCGGUUUUGUGUACCGACUGAACAUAUCAACUGAUGGUGACCUUGGUCGUUUCAGAUGAGUCGGUCGAUUGAAACUAGAAUCAGCCGACUGAUUAGCAUAUUUGGACAGCAACAUAUCAAAAGUUGGCUUGAUCCGCUUGCGUUGCACUUUAGCUUCAUUCUUCUUCCACUUGCCAACUUCUGGACUCUUGGGCUUGACAAAUUUAACACGAGUAUUUUCUUGCACUUGCGGUUGCCCCCCGAGUGUAGGAUUCUUGAUGGUGAUUUUGAUCACUUCCUUGCCAUCGGGUUGCUUAUCAAGCACAACCUGUCUCCCCAAGACCUUGUUGUCUUCCUUGUCUUUCCUGGGCUCACCAACAAUGACAUUAGCUUUAUUAGCAGAUUCGGCUACCUCCGGCCGAAUGAGUAACUUCUUCCCUUCUAAAUCCAUGGCGUUCAUUGGAAAGGGUUGUUUAUCAACUUGCAUCUCAGAAAAGUUCAAUCGUCCGUCAUUAAUGGCCGAUUGUAUCUGUCGUUGAAAAACAUUGCAAUCAUUAGUAGCAUGAGAAAAAGAAUUAUGAUACUUGCAAUAAGCACGCCGUUUCAGCUCUUGAAACGGCGGUAAAGUAUGAGAUAUUCUAAUAAUCUUAGCCUGCAGCAAAGCAUCAAAUAUUCUAUCACACUUAGCAAUGUUAAAAGUAAACUUCAUCUCUUCAUCACGAUUCUUAUGAAUCGGUUUCAGAUCAUUGCAAGUAAAGGGUUUGGCCUUAGAUGGCCAAACAAAUUCAGUAGAAAAAACAUCACCCUCAUCGUCCGAGUGAUCACUGUCAUAUUCCACCAUAUUCAUCUUUGGACGACCGGCUUUGUAUCUAUGCACUUCUUUGAGGUCUUUGCUUCGGCUUUCCUGAGCCAAAGCCCUUUGUAAGACUUGGUUGAUGUUUAAGAACUCGUAGCCUUCUAGCUUUUCUCUAAUGGGAGUUCUCAAACCACUCAGCACUAGGUCUGCCAAGUCUCUCUCGGUUAUCACCAAACUAAAACACCGGUUUUUCGUAUCUCUGAAUCUCUUGACGUAAUCGGAGACUGAUUCAUCAUGCUUCUGCUUAACCGAUGUUAGAUGUGACAACUUGAGUUCAUUGUCGCUGCUAUAAAAGUGAUCAUGAAAUUUCUGCUCUAGCUGCGACCAAACUCGAAUGGAACCAUGUGGUAAAGAAGAAAACCAUGAAAAUGCGGUACCAGUUAAUGACAAAGGAAAUAAACGCACUUUCAACUCAUUCAGUGAGCCUGCCUCACCCAAUUGUGCUAAGUAUUGACUAACAUGCUCCCAUGUGGUUUUUGUGCCCUCUCCAUUGAACUUAACAAAAUCUGGAAUUUUAUAUCCUGGAGGGCACUGGAUAGCAUCAAAGUACUCGGGGUACGGCUUUUGGUAAAUCCGAUUCCGAGGUAACUCAACUCCAAAAUUUUCUCGAAGCAUCUUAGCCAUCUCCUCUCUAAGAUUAGCUAAACCAUCAUCCAUAGUGGACGAUGAAGCUUGUGGCAGUGGCAUAGGAGGGGUAGGGUUACUAGCUGUAGGUAGGAAUUGUGGCAUGUAUGUCGACCCAUAAUUUGGUAGUGGUCGAGUGGUUGUAGCUGUAGGUAGGGUUUGGUUCGGCGUCACCACCGAACCUGGCAUGCUCAUAAUAGGAUUAAUGGGUGCAGCCACAAUCUGAUUUGUUUGGGUAGGAUAAUAAGUCAUCGGCACGGGAGGCGCCGAUGAGAUAGGUAAAGCCAGAUUAGGGUUUUGCACACUAGCAGCUACACCAUCAUUACCACUAGUCGAUUGAGAUGUAUUCUUCUGAGCAUUAGUAUUUUCUAUGAAAGUUUGAUAGACUAGAUUGUUACCAUCAGCAAUACGACUUUCAAUCUCAGCCCACUGCUCAGGAGAAAAGGUAGUACUUACAGAGGGUUUAACCUGCUCGGCUUGCAAAGGAGGGAACUUGAUUUCUUCAAUCGGAGUGAUGUUGCCUUGGCGAUCCUUCUUGAACUUUGCAAGGAACUCCUGCAAGUCCUUCUCCUCGCGCGCCUUCUUGUACUCCUCAUAGACUUGGUGAUGAUCGGCCGAUAUCUCAUCAAGACUGGGCUUAAUGAUGUUAUCGGCGUCUACCUCAGAUGGCUUGGGAAGAUCGGACAUGGUGGAUGAUGAUGAUUGAUCUUCGGUCCCCAGCGGAGUCGCCAAAAAGUGUUUUGACACACGAACACGUCACGUGUACCCUCGACGCCGGGGGUGAUGCACCGCAGCUCACGUCGAAGGAGACCCGACCGACAGCGCGAUAUGCAAGACAGUCGGCGGGUGCUUUUGCAGACCCGAAACCCCGCGCACCCGGGAGGGACCCCGUCAGGGAUUGCGGCGGCUAUGGGCUGCCCUAGGUCGAUUCGCUCGCCCCUAGAGCCUCGGGAUUCGCAGCUCUCAAACACGAAGAACAGCGAAGAACGAGAUAGAAAAACGGUGGAGAGAUAAAAAGUAGACAGGAAAAAGUAGUAUAUUGAUUUGUUCGAUUGUGUGUUGUUCAAUCGGCCGUCACCCCCAACAUAUAUAAGAGGCGGCUGGACUUCCCGUACAAGUAAAGGAUUCAUCUAGGCUUUCCUUACAAGAAAAAUUACAUCAAUUCACGUCCUAGAGUCCUAGUUCUAUUCCAACUCGGAUCCAGUCUGAAUCUGGCCCAACUUCUGUCUUCCUCCGUGUGCAGGCCGCCGAGCCUCCAUAUGACCUCCGAUCAAGAUGGCCCAAAUACCAAACUUGUGCGCCUCGACGAUAUGAACAACUCUCAUGUUGAUCACUUUUUCAAAUAAGGCCAUCUUGAAUACUUUUCGAGGUCAUCUUUACCUUCCAGUCGGACUCGGUCUUGCGGUAGACUGAAUUAUCCGAGUCUUGUAGUGAAUUUGCAGGCCAUAUACUAUCUCUGAUGACGAUGACUCCAAAAGCAAAGUUUACCGUCUUGACGAUACACACAACUUCUGUAUUGAACACUUCUUCAUCCGAGAUCAUCUUGAUAAACUUUUGGGCACAUGUUCAGUUUCACUCGGAUUUGAGCUCAUCCACUCGGAUUUUAGAGUCUUU
rnacentral:lncRNA from 1 species